rnacentral:rRNA from 1 species
UACGGAGGGAGCUAGCGUUGUUCGGAAUUACUGGGCGUAAAGCGCGCGUAGGCGGCUUUGUAAGUUAGAGGUGAAAGCCCGGGGCUCAACCCCGGAACUGCCUUUGAUACUGGGUAUCUCGAGUCCGGAAGAGGUGAGUGGAAUUCCGAGUGUAGAGGUGAAAUUCGUAGAUAUUCGGAGGAACACCAGUGGCGAAGGCGGCUCACUGGUCCGGUACUGACGCUGAGGUGCGAAAGCGUGGGGAGCAAACAGG